rnacentral:lncRNA from 1 species
UGGUGGCAGUGGUCUGGGGCCUAUCACGGAAUUACUUGAGGGGACAUAUCAUCGCAGAGUCCAGAACACACACACUCAAUGACUCGCCCUUUCACACACUAAAGGCUAUUUAGCGUCAACAGUUCACGUGAAUUGCGUGUCUUUCGAGUGGGAGGAAACCAGAAGUAACCCAUGAAUACAGGGGAAAAACGCACAAAAAAUCUACACAGACCGAGCCGGAUUCGAAACGAAACCCGGUCGAAGAGUGAGGAACAGCGCUACGACUAUCGCGCUAUCCCUCCGCUCGGAUCGGCGCCAGAACGCGCAUGCGCUGUGGUAUCCGCUAUUCCCCCGGGAGAGAGACGUCGUGAGCGCACACCUGUAGGCUUUCUGCUCAUUUGUUUGAAACUUUUGUGAGGGAGGGAAGUAGGUGUUAAAUUUGAAAGAAAAGAAAAGAGAGCUUAAGCUCAGCAAUGCGGACUCUGCGAUAAAAUGGAAAAACUGAAACUUUAACGAUAUAGGUUUUUCUUUUUUUCCCCCCCUUUCCCCCGAAUUGUCGUAAAAGUAAGGAGACGAACGGAAUGGAACGGGAGAGUUUGACUGGCUUUAAAGCCAUACGAGCCAAGUUUCAGGAGGAGAUCGCCAAGAACCAGGGCAGAAACAAGCCUACUGUUCCUGACAAGCCGAAGCAAGUUCCACCUGCUGGACCGCCAUCUUCACUUCUGAGUGCUGUUAAUGUGAUCUCUGACAACAGGCCAGCAGUUAUGCCAUGUGUUGUCUUCAAAGACCCCAAGACAGGCCCAGCAUUUAAGCGACCCAUCUCCCAACCUCUCCCACUGCCGCCCUGCACACCUCCCCUCUUCACUGGAGAUGAAAACGCACGGUGCUCCUUCAGAGAUAAGCGAUUGUCACUCGUGUUGCCGGUGCAGCCAAAACAACACAAACCUCAACAACCUGUGUCAUUUAGUGGUUUCUCCCAAUCUGACAUGCCUCAAAAAGAGGCAUUUCCUUUCAAAUUAGCAUCUCCAGAACCCAUGAAAGAAAAUGCCUUCACUACUUUGGCUGAUAACCCAGUUGGGGAGAAUUUUGGGGAAGAGAGCAUGGUUGCUCCUCUUCAGCUGUAUUCAAAUACUGAGUCCCCAUCUCAGAGCCCAGAUGCACUAGCCACUCUUUCCUUAGCUGAAGAAGCACGCAGUGGAUCUCUGUGGAACAUAGCCAUGCCAUGCAAUUUUAACACUCUUCAAACCAGUGAGAGAGAGCAUGUACCUAGUUCUUUAUUGCUGUCCACCAGUUCAAAGAGCAAGUCAGCUGCUUAUGAAGAGCAACAUCCUGCAGUGCAUGCCAAUAAACUGUCCUCCAAGUGCUCCCCCACAGAUGACAAAAUGAAGGAAGAAUUUCUUCAGAAAUCCUCUAGCGACCUUAAGUCCACCAGUGUGUCUGCAUUAGCGGCCAAGAUCAAUGGCAGUACUCACCGAAAGAUUAUAGAAACCUUGGAGGAGAUCAUGGGCUCUGGAGCAAAGGUUUUGCAGCCAAGGUUUCAGACUGAAACUUUGCCACCUAAAGUACCUCUUCCAAGUCUACAGUCUCUUGGUCCCAAGCUGCAGAAGCCUCCAAGACCCCCAUUUGUGGAUCUCUCUUCUUACUGGACCACAAUGGCAAAAGCUCAUGGUGAAAGGGGCCUCAUUGGAGCACCUCAGAAUCUGGCUGCUGAGCAUCCACAGCUUCAAAGUGCAGAACCUAUGGUUGGAGAUCUACGAAACUCAGAAUUUCCAGACACAAGUGCUUCAGACUUGAAUGCAACAGAAAUCAAGGGUCUUUAUCCUGGACACCAGCCCCUUAGUUCUGUAGAGCCUGAAGCUCAGGAGCCUAAGGUCUCAAUUCUUCAGGCUCUGGGGUUAUGGAGCAGGGCUCUGGAUUCUGAAGUUGCAGAAUUUAUAGAACCUGGAGCAUCAGCUUCCGAGGCAUCUCAAAUUCCAUGUCCUGCUCCUGUAACUGAAUCUCUUGCAAAUAGAGAACCUAAGCAGCCAGCAAGACUCAACUAUGAUACCACUGACAAUCUUUAUGAAGAUGUUGAGAAUGUCAGGAAGCUUCACCGUGGUCAUCACACGUGGAAGCGCAAAAGCAUUCCAAAAAAUCCAUAUGCUGAUUCCCAGGUAAUGAAUGAAGAUGGGCGCAAGAGUGCAUGGUUUCAUAAUCCAUGGUUUGGUAUGACUGGGGAACUCCAUAGUCUGUCAUACUCACAUGGAGAUGGCCAUGGUCGAAAGGUAAGCCCUGAGGACCAUGAGGACAAAGAGCUCAAGAAGAGAGAGAAGCAUCGUCUGGAACGAGAGAAAAAGGAGCAAAAAGAGAGGGAGAAGAAGGAGCAGGAAAUGAAAAAGAAAUUCAAGGUAGGUGUCUUGAAAAUAGAAACAUUUAUGAAACACAGGGUUUUAUAA